GACGACGGCCACCCCCACCACUCAAUCCCUUCUCCCCCAAUCCCCUCACUCCAUCCCCGAAACCCUAGAUGAGUCGACGACCUCCGCCCAGUGCAGGCCCUCCUCCGUUCAACCCCGCCGCCCGUGCUCCGCCUUCCUGGCCCGAUGCGCCAGCCAUGGGCUUCGCCGCUCACAAGCGGCGCUCCUGGCCGUCCGCUGUCACCUCCUCCUUCAAGCCCCGUCGCCGGACUGCGUCGCGCGCCGGGACGAAGGCGUUGGGUGCCGCUGCUGCUGAACGGUACGUCAUACGCGUCCUCGCGAUGCUGCUGCUCGAUGCCGGCGAGUGGGAGCCCUUCUUCCCCGUACCGUCCGUGAGGCCGCUCCGCAACUGCAGGCCCGCGCGUAGCGCCUGGGCUCCAUCCUGGCCGUCUCCUAAGACGAGCUCAGCGGGGACAAGGCCGUCGCCGCGCAGACGGGCCACUGAUCUUGGCAAAGUCUGUGUUCGUGGGGAACCUAGACUAUGACAGCGGCCACUCUUAGCUCGACCUCCUCUUCCAGCGUGACGGCCGGAUCAAUCGCAUCGACAUCAAGUCAGGAUACAGGGAUACUUGCUGUGGCAAGUGGCAUUGCUGUGGAGGACUAGAUGAUAGGCACCAUGCCUCCAUCUCGCCAUCUACUAAGCUGCUUCUCCCUUUUUGCUGCAAUGUGUUGUGCAGUGCCUUCUGUGGCUUUGUUCCCAGGAAAAGUAUGCCAGCGAGCACGGGCGAACGACAAGCUGGAAUAGGAGGUUUUGUUCCUGAAGGAGAAGUGUUAAACUGUCGUUGAGAAGAACACCAAGAUGGAGCAGCAGAUGACUGCCCAUGUACUUCUUUCCUGUCUGUCUCUCUAGGACAACCAGGAGGAGAACUAGAUGACAUCCAGGGAAGCUGGAACCUGGAGCUACUGCCUGAUGCAUCAUUUGGAGGAAGGAGCCAAGGAGACAUAGCCACCAUGUGCCACGCCAUGGUGGUUGGCACGCUGGCGGAUCCCCUCUAUGCCUUCUGUGGCUUUGUUCCCAGGAAAAGUAUGCCAGCGCAGCACGAGCGAAUGACAAGCUGGAGUAGGCGGUUUUGUUCCUGAAGGACAACCAGGAGGAGAACUAGAUGGCAUCCAGCUGGAACCUGGAGCUGCUGCCUGAUGCAUUGUUUGGAGGAAGGAGCCAAGGAGACAUAGUCACCAUGUGCUACACCAUGGUGGUUGGCGCGCUGGUGGUUCCCUUCUAGUAAGCCUUUGCUUAUUUGCUUCAUCCUCCUCUCCCCCAUUGUUCUGUGAUGAUCUCGAUUGGUAGCCUGGCAUUGAGCCAUGGUGUUGAUAUGUUAAGGUUUAUUUAUAGCUGGGAUUUGGUCACCUAGCUACUGGUUUGUACUACCUAAUUAACUUGUGCUCUAUAUAGGUGAAUUUGUACCGUUACUAAGCUAAAAUUCAAAUUGAGUCAAAAUUCAGAAGCUUUACUCCGUUUUGGUUUGAAAUAAGCUCAAUUGAUUUAAAUGUAACUCAAGUUUGUCAGUUACAACUUAAACUGAGUAGAGUUUGAAUAUAUGGGUUCAAAUACUUCUAUUUUCUACUGUCCUGGCGGAUGCAGUCAUAUAGCGGUUUAAUAACUGGAUGAUUUGGUUGUGGUUUGUAUGAUUUAGAUAAUUGAAUUGCAAAUUACUUAUUUUACGUGAGUUCCUUUUAUGCAGCAGUACUAGCUGAGUUGGUGUGGUGGUGUAUGCAUGCGAGUGUUUGUGAGCUUGGAGUGAAGUAGUAUGUGAUGCAUCUCCUCUUCUCGAUUGAAGGUCGUAGGAAAAUUGUUUGCUUGUCGCUCUAUCAUACUGGCUUAAUUAAUAGUAUGUGUCUGUUUCUCUUCAUGUACUGUUAAGAUUUAAUCAUCUUUUGCUUGCAUGCUUGAUAAAUGCUAGUGGUGGUAAAUUGGGAUUAAACCACACCUAGGUGAUAUGUAGUAUCUCAUUAUAUGUACUGUAUGUAUGCAUGUGUCUUGCUAAAACUAUCUGCAGUACGUAACUAUGCGAUUAAUUUAAUUGCAUGUAUUAAGCUAUUAUCCUUUUGAUUGAUGUCAUCUUGCACGCGUAGUUGUGCUUACUGCCUUCUCUGCAUAUGCAUGUGCGAUAGCUCUGAUUCCAAAUGGUAGUUGCUCUGGAGUUGGACAUCAUUCCGGUCGCGGUGAUCUGUUGCCAGAAUUUUUUUUUGCUGGUAGGAUGUUUUGUGCAUGUGCAGAAUUCUAGACAAAAUUUAAUCCAGCGAUGCUGCACAAUCUUGUGUCGUGAUUAUUUUUUCAGUGUUGUUCUUAAAAGCCAGUACUACUAUUAGAUGCUUGCACUAAAGAGAAAAGUUCUGUUUGCACAGUUACGGUUAUGUUGUGUUAGAACAAAAAUAUAUGCUCCUGCUGUGUAUGUGAUUUGGCCAUCGCACUGACAAGUGCUGCUGUAGCUCAUCUUGUGUUUCCUAUAUGACUAGUGAUAUCGAUGAAGCCAACCUCUGCUUGGUUAAAUUACAUACUGGCAUGCAUGUUUGGUUCAAGUGUUUUUGCUUGCUUACAUAAACUCUGAAGCCAAUUCUACAUACAGGUAAUCUAGGCAGUCGGGUUCCAAGUUGAUCGUUGCAUUUUUCUGUAUUAGUAAUGGUCUGCUGUUGUUUCUGAAUGUUUCAAGAUAAGCACCUGCUCUGAAUAUUUGCAUAUCCAUUUAUGUGCAAAUCUAUACAUGACCUGCUGUUGUUUCUGAACUCCAUUUUUGUGCUCUGAAUAAUUUAGGCAGUUGGGUUCCAAUGCAUAAAAAGCAUGCUGCUCUGAAUAUUUGCAUAUCCAAAAUUUAUGUGCAACUCUAUACAUGACCUGUUGUUGUUUCUGAAUGUUUCAAGAUAAGCACCUGCACCUGGAACCGAUGGAAGUCUGAAUGGCCAUCUUCACCUGUGUGAUGGGAGCCUCCCUGCCGAAGCCGAGAGUAAGAGACCAAUGUCGGCCAGCGAUGAUGUUGGCAUGUCCGUUGAUGCGUGUGACCAUGCCUCUGGAAGAGGAGCGUCUAGUAAGUGAAGCCCAGCUACAAGGUGCUGUCUUGGGAGAGCGGCAUGGACGAGAAAGAAGUAGAUAGCAUUUGAUCGGGCCUUUAGCCGUUUGAGUUGAGUGUGCUGCUUUGUUUCCCAAAAUCAUUGGCUACAGCAUUAGGCUUAUUCGCUGGUUGUCAGGAUUCCUUGUAUUUUUCUGUCCAGUUUGGUGUUGCAGAGUUUGUGCUGUGAGCGUUGAGGAAUCAUGACUGUAUAAAUUGUGGUUCGUCUAUCUAGUAUUUGAUACAGUACAUUUUGUAAGAGCAUAUAUAUUUCAGUGCAAUAUGAACCUUGAUGUUAGGAAA